ACGAAAUGGAAAUGCGGCUAGGUUAUCCUGUUCCAGCACAACAGAAACUAGGAAUUCUAAACUUGGAAACUAAUGGUUAACAAAUAUUGCUUACAUUCACUCAUAUCCCUAUUCUAGCAUGUUUUACAAAAACUCUUAAUGGAAAGAUUAGGCAGAACUGAAACCAGUUUAAUACAGUCAAUUGUUAAUGUUUAUAAAAUGUGGCAAUUAUACCUGUAAGGAUCCUAAAACUACAUUUGCAGUAGCUGGAAGAACAAGGUGCUCUCCUUCUGAUCCAUUAACUGAUGCACUUGAUUUAUCUGUUUCCAGGCUUAUAAAUAUACCUUGCUUUCACAAGAAUCACAC